UUGGAGGGCAAGUCUGGUGCCAGCAGCCGCGGUAAUUCCAGCUCCAAUAGCGUAUAUUAAAGUUGUUGCAGUUAAAAAGCUCGUAGUUGAACUUCGGGGUCUACCCAUUGGUCAGGCUUAAUUGUCUGCACUGGUGAGAUGGAUCUCUACCUUCUGAGGAACUUUCAUGCCAUUUAUUUGGUGUGAUGGGAAAUCAGGACUGUUACUUUGAAAAAUUAGAGUGUUUAAAGCAGACUAUCGUCUGAAUACAUUAGCAUGGAAUAAUGAAAUAGGACGGACUGAUUCUAUUUCGUUGGUUUCUAGGAUCACCGUAAUGAUUAAUAGGGAUAGUUGGGGGCAUUAGUAUUCAAUUGUCAGAGGUGAAAUUCUUGGAUUUAUUGAAGACUAACUACUGCGAAAGCAUUUGCCAAGGAUGUUUUCAUUAAUCAAGAACGAAAGUUAGGGGAUCGAAGACGAUCAGAUACCGUCGUAGUCUUAACCAUAAACUAUGCCGACUAGGGAUCGGACGGAGUUAAUUUUAUAAUGACGCGUUCGGCGCCUUACGGGAAAC
rnacentral:rRNA from 1 species